rnacentral:lncRNA from 1 species
GUUAAUAUGUGUUCAUGCUAAGCUCUGCAGAGAUUUUGCUUUCAUUCUGGAAGCUCUAUUUUAUUGCCUCAAGCAUGUAUUGCUGUAACUUUCUGCUUAGAGAGUCUGAAUGUUCUCUGACAACAUAGCAUAUGAAUCAAAUCAGGAAAAGGAGGAAGAAGCCUGAAAGCCUAUGUUCCUACAUGGUAGCUCAGCUGGAACCCCUCUCUUAAGAGAAGGUUUUCUCCAAGACUACCCGCUGAGAGGCUGAACCUGUCUUCAUGAGGUGAUCCUGAAUAAAUAACAGCCUGGUAACGGAGUGAUGAGAGCCUAGCAACAAAGCAAUGAAAGCCUGGCAUGAUGGGGAAUGGGCCUUCCCCUUUAUAAGGGCUGGACUGUCACACAGCACUUCAGAUUCUUCUGGCAGAGAGCAACGAGUUCUUCAUUCUUCAGACAAGAUGCUGUGCAUCUCCCAUUAACCCUGCUGCAUUUCUCAUCAAAAAAUGCAUUCUUGGCUACACAAAAGAAGAAACCCCUGCCCAGAAAGAAGAGAACAGCAAAGAGAAAUAAGAAUGUCUUCAUGACCUGAAGGGCUGCGAGGGUCAGCACAGUGUCCAUGGACAAGAGCAUCAACACCCACCCACCUUUAUACGCUUCUCCAGAGCAAACAGCCUUGAUCAGUGAAGUGUAUCAGAACAAGUGACGCCAUGCCCUGCCACAUGGAGCCCACCCGCCUCAGUGGGUGUCACUCAAUCUUCAGUGUGUUGCUGUUUUCUCUGGCUCUGGAAAGUUCCCAAGAAGGAACAUAGGCAAGAGCGUAGAGCCGGGGUGGGCAGAGAUGGAUGACUGGGUGCAGGUUGUGUGCUAGAAGAAUCUGGAGUCCAGUCCUUUACACUGCUAAUCCUCACUAGGUUCCAUCCCUAGUGGCUUCAGACCACGGGUAUAGUGGGAGUGUAAGUACACAAUACCCCAUGUUUCAGUGAAGAGCUGGUGCCCUGUGGUCAGGUGGACUCUGAACUGGAGAGCCAACCUUUGUGAGCUGUCCACGCUGGGGAAAGAACCUGACUUAAGCAUGUACCCAAUCAUUUGUUUUUAAAUUCUGAGCUUUGCCUCAUGCAGCCCAUUUCAAGUGUUAGACCAUCUUACUUAAUCUCAGAGGGUUUUUGUUUUGUUUUGUUUUGUUUUGUUUUGUUUUGUUUUGUUUUGCUUUGCUUUAUGUUGUGUAUGCUUUUAUUUGUUUUUUGAGAAUUUCACACAGUAUAUUUUUUAAAGAUUUGUUUAUUUUAAUUAUAUGAGUAUACUAUAGUUGUCUUCAGACACACCAGAACAGGCAGAUCCCACUACAGAUGGUUUGAGCCACUAUGUGGUUGCUGGGAACUGAACUCAGAAACUCUGAAAGAGCAGUCAGUUCUCUUGACCACUGAGCCAUCUCUCUAACCCCUCACAACAGUAUAUCUUGAUCAUAUUCUUUACCCUCCCAUAACUCUUCCCAGAGCCUCCCCACUACCCACCAUACUUCAUGUUGUCUGAUUUGGGUUGGCCAACUACCCUGAGCAUAAGGCCUGUCCUGGAGUGCGGUUGAUAUACCCAGUAUCACUGCAGUGAUGGAAACUUGUUUUCCCUCUCCCAGGAGCUAUCAAUUACAAAUAAGUAGCUUCUUGUCUAGGUGGGAACUCUGUGCCUACUUCCCCUUUGCUCUUUGUCUAGCUUAUACUGUGCAGGUCUUGUGCACACUGUCAGCCUCUAUGAGUUCAGGUGGACACCAGCCUUUUAGUACCUGGAACAGUCCCUCAUCAAUGUCUCCUCCUCCAAUCUCUGACACUCUUCCCAGCUCCUCAUCCACAUAGAUCCCUGAGCUUUGAGUGGAGGAGUAUGAUAUAAAUAUCCCAUGAAGGGCUGAGCACUCCACAGUCUUUCUCUCUCUCUCUCUGCACAUUGGCCAGUUGUGGAGCUCUGUGUAAAUUACCACAUGAUGCAGAAGCUUCUCUGGUGAGGUCGAGGGAUGCUCUGAUCUAUGAAUAUAGACUAUGUCAUUAGGAGUCAGAUUGCUAUACUACUUAGCAGAGUAGUUGUUCAACGUUAUAUAGAAAUAUAAAUGUGAUGAUGAUAAUCAGACAUUCCGCUAAACACUUCUAUGCCAUGUGCAAUGCAUUCAAAUGCCCAAUGAGGCUGGUAUUAUCAAUAUAACCCAAUUUUAAGAAUAAAGAGACUAAAAUUUC